rnacentral:rRNA from 1 species
ACAGCAGCAGCCGCGGUAAUACGAAGGGUGCAAGCGUUAAUCGGAAUUACUGGGCGUAAAGCGUGCGUAGGCGGUUUGUUAAGUCUGUUGUGAAAUCCCCGGGCUCAACCUGGGAAUGGCAAUGGAUACUGGCAAGCUAGAGUGUGUCAGAGGAUGGUGGAAUUCCCGGUGUAGCGGUGAAAUGCGUAGAGAUCGGGAGGAACAUCAGUGGCGAAGGCGGCCAUCUGGGACAACACUGACGCUGAGGCACGAAAGCGUGGGGAGCAAACAGGAUUAGAUACCCCGGUAGUCCCUGUCUCUUAUAA